GAUGAAGAACGUAGCGAAAUGCGAUAAGUAGUGUGAAUUGCAGAAUUCAGUGAAUCAUCGAAUCUUUGAACGCACAUUGCGCCCUUUGGUAUUCCAAAGGGCAUGCCUGUUCGAGCGUCAUUUGUACCCUCAAGCUUUGCUUGGUGUUGGGCGUCUUGUCUCUAGCUUUGCUGGAGACUCGCCUUAAAGUAAUUGGCAGCCGGCCUACUGGUUUCGGAGCGCAGCACAAGUCGCACUCUCUAUCAGCAAAGGUCUAGCAUCCAUUAAGCCUUUUUUUUCAACUUUUGACCUCGGAUCAGGUAGGGAUACCCGCUGAACUAAAGCAUAUCAAUAAGCGGAGGA
rnacentral:misc_RNA from 1 species